GUGAGGCCAACUCUCCCUAGAGGCUGGGACGGGUGAGCAGCAGUGUUUGGCAUCAGUCUUGAGGACCCCACCGCCUUCACAUACCCAGCAAUGCUGUCUGGACAAGUUUACACGACAAAUUUGAAAUUUAUUUUGUAGCUCAUGCCUAUUGUAACAAAACUAUACAAAAGAAUAUAAAAUAAAAACACCCCACAGACACAGCCCGCAGUCUGCUCUCCAGAGGUUUCACUGGUGGUAGCUUGCUGAGAAUCCUAGCCAACACUCUGGAAAACUCUGCUGUGCACGUACAUAUUUUUCCUUUUUAACCAAAACGGGCAUCAUUCCGUACGUGUCAUAAUGCCUCCCACUUUGUCCAAUAUCUUGUGGACAGCAGCCUCCCUCCAUGUCAUGGAAACUGAGUUCCAACAGGUGGGGAUCAUCACCCACCUCACAGGGAAACUGAGGCCCCCUGAGGUUCUGGAGGCCAGCAGUCCAAGACAGGCCCCACUGAGCUAAAGUCAAGCUGUGGGCAAGACUGUUCCCCUGGGAGAGCCUAGGGGAGCUCCCUGCGGUCCUCGGCUCGUGGCCCCAUCCUCUCUCUUCAAAGCCGAAGGGAAUCAGUUUCUCUCUACUUGCGGGUUCCUGAAUAUCUUCCACCCAGCACUGAAGUUGCUGCCCAGUCAGGGGCAGAGCUGGAGGAGGCGGGGCGGUGACAGCAGAGCAGAGAAAGCUUUCCUUGCCUGGCUGAAGGAGACAGGGCUGCUGUCCCCAGGACCCCUGUGGCUGCAGGAGUGGGAGGAGCGGGCUGGCCUAGGCCCCUUCCCCACUCAGCCGGGUCCUGCGUGGUCCCCUACCCUGGACAGCCGUGCUGUGAUGUGAUCCUCUACCCACAUGGUCCUGGAGCCUGGCCUUCAAGAGUCCCUUUAGGAAAGAAAAGCAAGGGUAUUAAUUG
rnacentral:lncRNA from 1 species